rnacentral:rRNA from 1 species
UACAGAGGUCUCAAGCGUUGUUCGGAUUCAUUGGGCGUAAAGGGUGCGUAGGUGGCGCUGUAAGUCAGGUGUGAAAUUUCGGAGCUUAACUCCGAAACUGCAUUCGAUACUGCGGUGCUUGAGGACUGGAGAGGAGACUGGAAUUCAUGGUGUAGCAGUGAAAUGCGUAGAUAUCGGGAGGAACACCAGUGGCGAAGGCGGUUGCCUGGGGCUUUGCUGACGCUGAUGCGCGAAAGCGUGGGGAGCGAUCCGG